rnacentral:rRNA from 1 species
UACAGAGGUCUCAAGCGUUGUUCGGAUUCAUUGGGCGUAAAGGGUGCGUAGGUGGCGUCGUAAGUGGGGUGUGAAAUCCCGGGGCUUAACCCCGGGACUGCAUUCCAUACUGCGGUGCUUGAGGACUGGAGAGGAGACUGGAAUUUACGGUGUAGCAGUGAAUGCGUAGAGAUCGUAAGGAAGACCAGUGGCGAAGGCGGGUCUCUGGACAGUUCCUGACGCUGAGGCACGAAGGCCAGGGGAGCAAACGGG